rnacentral:ribozyme from 1 species
UGCCCAGCAAUUUCUAUCCCUACCACCUCGUGGUACUGGCCGGGGUACGAGUAACCUUAGGGAAGAUCGGGUAACCAACCCCGGUGGGAGCUUUGGUCGUAUGCUGACAGGGAAGG